ensembl:snRNA
GUGUGUGCGGAAGGAGAGAAGGUCCGAGCUUCCCUUGACGAGGAUGGAAGAGGCUCUCUGGCCUGACAGCACGCACACGCUGAGGCAUUGCCGCCUACUUCGUGGCAUUUAACCAUCGUUUUUU